AAUCUGUGUUUCUAUCGCUUCUCAGCCUUUUGGCUAAGAUCAAGUGUUUUCUUCAGUGUAAUCCAUAGUAGUUAUUGCAUUGGUGCAGCAGUCCCUCACUUUGAAACCUUCGCGAUAGCCCGAGGAGCUGCCUUUAAUAUUUUCCAGGUUAUUGAUAAGAAACCCAGUAUAGAUAACUUUUCCACAGCUGGAUAUAAACCUGAAUCCAUAGAAGGAACUGUGGAAUUUAAAAAUGUUUCUUUCAAUUAUCCAUCAAGACCAUCUAUCAAGAUUCUGAAAGGUCUGAAUCUCAGAAUUAAGUCUGGAGAGACGGUCGCCUUGGUCGGUCCCAAUGGCAGUGGGAAGAGUACGGUAGUCCAGCUUCUGCAGAGGUUAUAUGAUCCGGAUGAUGGCUUUAUCACGGUGGAUGAGAAUGACAUCAGAGCUUUAAAUGUUCGGCAUUAUCGAGAACAUAUUGGAGUGGUUAGUCAAGAGCCUGUUUUGUUCGGGACCACCAUCAGUAACAAUAUCAAGUAUGGACGAGAUGAUGUGACUGAUGAAGAGAUGGAGAGAGCAGCAAGGGAAGCAAAUGCUUAUGAUUUUAUCAUGGAGUUUCCUAAUGUGAGUACACUGUGCAGCCUGUGUCCUUAGGUUAUGGUGGCAGCACUGCAAUAUUCCAAUAUAAGGUAAUGAA
rnacentral:sRNA from 1 species